GAGGGAGCUAUGCAGAUUUGUAUUUGUUUUUAGCUGUUUUGUUCUGUUUGUAUAAAUUGGCAUUAUUUUUCUCAUCAGUGGGAGGAGUCAUAGUGACCAGCCAGUAACCAGUAUGCAGGAUAUGGAUGCAUCCAAGUGUGCUUCCUCAGAUCCCUCAACAUCAAGGAAAGAGCAGAAAGACACCAGCAGUGAAAUCAACACAAACUACUAUACCAAGAAUCACCUAUAUGGCAACAUAGAGGUAUGUACUGUAGGCCUACUGCAGACAUUUACAG
rnacentral:lncRNA from 1 species